rnacentral:rRNA from 1 species
UGGACUCUGGGAUAAGCGCUGGAAACGGCGUCUAAUACUGGAUAUGAGCCUCUAUCGCAUGGUGGGGGUUGGAAAGAUUUUUUGGUCUGGGAUGGGCUCGCGGCCUAUCAGCUUGUUGGUGAGGUAAUGGCUCACCAAGGCGUCGACGGGUAGCCGGCCUGAGAGGGUGACCGGCCACACUGGGACUGAGACACGGCCCAGACUCCUACGGGAGGCAGCAGUGGGGAAUAUUGCACAAUGGGCGGAAGCCUGAUGCAGCAACGCCGCGUGAGGGAUGACGGCCUUCGGGUUGUAAACCUCUUUUAGCAGGGAAGAAGCGAGAGUGACGGUACCUGCAGAAAAAGCGCCGGCUAACUACGUGCCAGCAGCCGCGGUAAUACGUAGGGCGCAAGCGUUAUCCGGAAUUAUUGGGCGUAAAGAGCUCGUAGGCGGUUUGUCGCGUCUGCUGUGAAAUCCCGAGGCUCAACCUCGGGCCUGCAGUGGGUACGGGCAGACUAGAGUGCGGUAGGGGAGAUUGGAAUUCCUGGUGUAGCGGUGGAAUGCGCAGAUAUCAGGAGGAACACCGAUGGCGAAGGCAGAUCUCUGGGCCGUAACUGACGCUGAGGAGCGAAAGGGUGGGGAGCAAACAGGCUUAGAUACCCUGGUAGUCCACCCCGUAAACGUUG